rnacentral:piRNA from 2 species
UUGAUUCGGAAUACCUUCAAUGAGG